GAUGAACGCUAGCUACAGGCUUAACACAUGCAAGUCGAGGGGUAACGAGAGGAAAGCUUGCUUUCCUUGUCGACGACCGGCGCACGGGUGAGUAACGCGUAUCCAACCUGCCCCCAACUAGGGAAUAACCUUGCGAAAGUAAGACUAAUACCCUAUAAUUUCCUCAGAUGUCAUCUGACGAGGAAUAAAGAUUUAUCGGUUGUGGAUGGGGAUGCGUCUGAUUAGCUUGUUGGCGGGGUAACGGCCCACCAAGGCAACGAUCAGUAGGGGUUGUGCGAGGAAUGUCCCCCACAUUGGAACUGAGACACGGUCCCAACUCCUACGGGAGCCAGCAGUGAGGCAUAUUGGUCAAUGGGCGGAAGCCUGAACCAGCCAAGUAGCGUGUAGGAUGACGGCCUUAUGGGUUGUAAACUGCUUUUAUACAGGAAUAAAGUUAGCCACGUGUGGUUAUUUGUAGGUACUGUAUGAAUAAGGACCGGCUAAUUCCGUGCCAGCCGCCGCCGUAA
rnacentral:rRNA from 1 species